rnacentral:lncRNA from 1 species
GGCAAAUCUGUUGGUCUUAUUUUGAAAUGCAAAAGUAAGGCAAUUUUGUCAGUUACAUGUAUCAUAACUUCCUUUUAUCAUGUUUAUGCAAUUAAAAAUUUUUCUUUUAGCAUUUUUAAUGAAAGUACAUGUACUAAAAGAAGUAGGAGAAGAUAACCAACAAAACAGAAGUCACUAGAGGCAAUGCUUUCUAUAUUUAUAUAUAGACUAGUAGUGGAUUUGAAAAGUGCUGUAUUGAUUCAUGUGCAAAUAA